UACGUAGGUGGCAAGCGUUGUCCGGAUUUAUUGGGCGUAAAGCGCGCGCAGGCGGUUCGUUAAGUCCGAGGUGAAAUCUCCCGGCUCAACUGGGAGGGGUCUUCGGAUACUGGCGGACUUGAGGAGAGCAGAGGUGAGUGGAAUUCUGGGUGUAGUGGUGAAAUGCGUAGAUAUCCAGAGGAACACCAGUGGCGAAGGCGGCUCACUGGGCUCCACCUGACGCUGAGGCGCGAAAGCGUGGGGAGCGAACCGG
rnacentral:rRNA from 1 species